GACUUCCUGGGAUCGCGUCUGGAGAAUGCCUAGUAUUCUGCCAGCUUCAGAAAAGGAGGGAAAGCAAGCCUGGCAGAGGCACCCAUUCCAUUGCAGCUUGCUCCAUCGCUGGUGACUGGAAGAUACUCUGCAACAGUG
rnacentral:snoRNA from 1 species